rnacentral:rRNA from 1 species
CCUACGGGUGGCAGCAGUGGGGAAUAUUGCACAAUGGGGGAAACCCUGAUGCAGCGACGCCGCGUGAGUGAAGAAGUAACUCGUUAUGUAAAGCUCUAUCAGCAGGGAAGAAAAUGACAGUACCUGAGUAAGAAGCCCCGGCUAACUACGUGCCAGCAGCCGCGGUAAUACGUAGGGGGCAAGCGUUAUCCGGAUUUACUGGGUGUUAAGGGAGCGUAGACGGCAGGGCAAGUCUGGAGUGAAAGGCGGGGGCGCAACCCCCGGACUGCUAUGGAUACUGUACGGCUGGAGUGCAGGAGAGGUAAGUGGAAUUCGUAGUGUAGCGGUGAAAUGCGUAGAUAUUAGGAGGAACACCAGUGGCGAAGGCGGCUUACUGGACUGUAACUGACGUUGAGGCUCGAAAGCGUGGGGAGCAAACAGGAUUAGAUACCCUAGUAGUC